AUUCCAGCUCCAAUAGCGUAUAUUAAUGUUGUUGCAGUUAAAAAGCUCGUAGUUGGAUUUCUGGUGGGAGUGGCCGGUCCGCCGUAAGGUGUGUACUUGGUUGUCUCCCGUCAUCCUUGUGGGAACUGCUCUGGCAUUAAGUUGUCGGGGUUAGGGAACACAUCGUUUACUGUGAAAAAAUUAGAGUGUUUAAAGCAGGCUUAUGCCGUUGAAUACAUUAGCAUGGAAUAAUAAGAUAGGACUAUGGUACUAUUUUGUUGGUUUGUGCACCAUGGUAAUGACUAAUAGGGACAGUUGGGGGUAUUCGUAUUCCAUUGUCAGAGGUGAAAUUCUUGGAUUUAUGGAAGACGAACUACUGCGAAAGCAUUUACCAAGGAUGUUUUCAUCG
rnacentral:rRNA from 1 species